UAGUCAAGCUAGCGAAGGACGCGUCUUUGUCUUUUCUGCUGUUGUUCUUAGGGGACACGCAACACACACACACACACACACAGUUCUCUAAGGACUCGACCAGUGAUGUCGGUUAGCUUUUCCACCCUGGUGCAGCGCGCCCGUCCGGCGUCGAACCACGCGACUUCGGCUGCGUUCCGCGAAGUCCUCAGCAAGAUCCCGCCCACCAAUGUGUCGACGCUCGGCAACGGCGUGCGCGUUGCGUGCGAGGAGAACCCGCUUUCUAAGCUCGCGACCGUCGGCGUGUGGAUGGACGCCGGGUCCCGCUACGAGCCGAUUGCCUACGCCGGCACGGCCCGCGUUCUGGAGAAGUGCGGCUUCCUUGGCACGACGAACCAGUCACGCGAGCAGAUCGCGAAGGCUGUCGAGGAGCUUGGCGGCCAGCUGGAGGUGAGCGUGGGCCGUGAGCAGACCUACCUGUACAUGAAGGUCACCAAGGAGAACACUGACCGUGCUAUCGGUCUGCUGGCUGACGUGGUGCGCAACGCUCGCAUGGAGGAUGCCGACAUCGUGAAGGCACGCGCCAUGGUGCACCAGGAUCAGCACCUGUUCGAGGAGCGCCCCGACGAUCUGGUCAUGGACAACUUGCACCGCUGCGCUUUCGACAGCACCCCGUACGGUGUGGGUACUCCGCUCUACGGUACGGAGGAAGGCGUAAAGAAGGUGACGGCCGAGCAGAUGCGCAACUACCGCGCCAGCACCCUCGCCGGCAACCGCGUCGUCGUUGUUGGCAGCGGUGGCGUCGACCACACCGUCCUGGAGAAGGCCGCCAAGAGCUACUUUGGUGACCUCCCCAGGGCUCCUGAGAAGGCCGCCACCGUGAUUCCAGAGUCCCGCUACGUCGGUGGUGAGUACCGCCUGUGGAACCUGCGCUACAAAACGGUGAACGUGGCCUGGGGCUUCGAGACCUGCGGCGCCGCGUGUGAGGACAACGUCCCGCUCGCCCUCGCGUGCGAGAUUCCGGGCUCCUUCCACCGUUCCCAGCACGAGCUCGGCCAGCACGCCAUGCAUCGCGUGCUGAAGACCUUCUCCUCGCUCGACCACUCCACCCCGACCAACACUCACUUCAACGAGAAGUCCAUCGAGACCGCGAACCCGUUCCUACACAGCUACAAGGACGUCGGCCUGUGCGGCAUGUAUGUGGUGGGCCGCCAGGCGAUGGGUGGCCCGGGCGACGGUGGUGUGAUUGUGGAGGUGCUGCAGUACACGAUCGCCGAGUGGUGCCGUAUUGCGCAGAAGAUGCUGCACGACAACGAGCUCGCGCAGGCGAAGGUGAACAUGAAGGCGCAGCUGCUUUUCAACAUGGACGGUAGCGCCAACUCCGCCAAGGAUAUUGGUCGCCAGGUGCUGCACUACGGUCGCCGCGUGCCGCUGACGGAGAUGUACGACCGCAUCGACGACACCACCGCUAGCAACGUCCAGGAGGUUCUCCAGCACUACUUCUACGGCCGCAAGCCCGUGUACAGCUAUCUCGGCUACAUCUCGUCCAUUCCCAACUACGAUUGGACGCAGCACUGGUCGUACAAGUACUGGUAUUAGAGCGUGGCGACUGGAUGCCAUUGAGAGGGCGAAAAGGAUGAGGGGGAGGGGCAUGCAGAGAAAGGGGUACGGCUCGAUUACAGGCGGAAGGGUGUCUGUGUGGAAGAGCGCCAAUGCCACGCGCAUACGCACGGCGCACAGUACAAGUUACGGCACUCGAUUCGCGCAGAGGCUAACCGUCUCUCUGCUCUGCAUUUUUCUGUUCCGCGUUGCCGCACUUCAUGGCCCGCCCCCUGUUAUGCGCUGACCUCUUUCGCGUCUGUGUGUCUUCCCUUCUCUCUGGGUUUCUCUAAGGUUGUAGGAGCACAUACACCUUCCCAUGGACACACGCUCACACUCACGCAUACCCGUGUGCGCGCCUCUGUGUGUGUGUGUGUAUGCGUGCGUGCACGGAUCGUCUGUCGGAGCUGGCGUCUCAUGUUUGACUGAUGAAAGGGGAAAAAUUCGAGGACAGGGAGAGAAAGGGAUGGACGAGGUGACGCAAGCGACGAAGCAAAGAGACGUGCACAUAUAUGUGUGUGUGUGCCACUGCCUUGAUAUGUCGUUAUUCCCCUUGCAGGGUUGCUUUCUGUGAUCUUUCUGUUCUCCUUAUUUGUUUUUCCCGCUUGUUUCUUGAUAGUUCUUAACUACUUAGGAGGGUGUGUGUAUGAUGCGUGUCUGAUGCGUGUAUGAUUCCCGCCGCUGAUACGCAACUGCACAAACGCCCAAACCGGUACACGCGCGCGCAUACACACACAAAUAUGCAAACACGAUACUGUAGCAGUUUUAGUCUAUGUUGGUUUUCUGUCUCUGAUUCUUCUUUUGUCAUCUCCGCCAGAUCAUCUGUAGGACACCCCACAUGCGCAUCAUGAAGAGGAAGAGGCACACGCACAUCUUUGUUCCUUAUCUCAGCAACUGUUACUAAGAAAGGCAACCCGACGGGCUUAAAACAACAGCAAC
rnacentral:misc_RNA from 1 species